UAUUAGAAGUAGGAUGAAGAAAACCUAAUGACUGUAAUUUUAUAUAAAUAUGUUUUGCACUUGGUUGUGAGUAAUCUGUACAGAUCGAUUAUUGAGAGCCGUGUUUAAAUGAAGAUUUACGGCUCACAGACUAAGGGCAUUCCAUGUUAUUGUAGCUUCUAAAGGUCUACUGCUAUGAAAUGAUUUUCUUAGUUUUAAAGUAUUUACUUGUUAUGUAGAGUAUUAGUUCGACAUGGAAUUUUCAAGCAAGCUCAAUUAAACUGGAGUGUUUAUA